ensembl:lncRNA
GGUGGAGUUUAGUUCAGCGGUGUUUGUGUGUGUAGUUAGGCGAUGGGUGGAGUUUAGUUCAGCGGUGUUUGUGUGCGUAGUUAGGCGAUGGGUGGAGUUUAGUUCAGCGGUGUUUGUGUGCGUAGUUAGGCGAUCAGUGGAGUUUAGUUUAGCAGUGUUUGUGUUUGUAGUUAGGGGAUGGGUGGAGUUUAGUUCAGUGGUGGAGUUUAGUUCAGCAGUGUUUGUGUGUGUAGUUAGGCUAUGCGUGGAGUUUAGUUCAGCAGUGUUUGUGUGUGUAGUUAGGGGAUGGGUGGAGUUUAGUUCAGUGGUGUUUGUGUGUGUAGUUAGGCGAUGGGUGGAGUUUAGUUCCGUGUGUAAGGCUGAGGCAGCAGCAGUGCAGAGCAGAGCUCUAGCGGAGCUUCAGUCGGAUUCACAGCUCGAACUCGCUCUGACCGUCGCGCACUUUCUCAGAUGUGUUUCUGUGUUUCCAGCGCGCUGAGUUGGGCAGCUGGAGGACUAGUUUGCUGAGUUAGGCAGCUGGAGGACUAGUUUAGUUUAGCGAUGUCCUGCUCGCGCGCUUAGUGGUUAGUUUGU